UGGCCUAGACGACACCCGUGAGUGGGGAGGGAAUGAUCAUUAUUACAGGUAUAAUUGGUGACUAGUUGGUGACUUGUGGCCCUGUUGGUGACUGAGGUUCAGAUUUGUUAGGUCUCAGAUGACUUUGGGGUUUCAGAUGGAUUUGUGGUUCCUAGUUCAAGCCGAAGCUUUGGUUCUGUGCUCCGAGAUACACAGUCAGCCAGUCUUGUCUGCAUCAUUUGCAUCAUAGCAUGUUUAUUUUCAAAAAAG
rnacentral:lncRNA from 1 species